UAGCUCAAUGGUAGAGCAUCGCUCUGUGGCAGCGAGGGCUGCGGGUUCGAUCCCGC
rnacentral:tRNA from 1 species